AAGCGUUUAUGACCAGACUUGGGCUUGGUUAAUCAUCUGGGGUUCUCCCCAGUGCACUUUUCCAGUCCAGGCCAGCAUCAGUUUUCCCCGGGGGAUAAAGACUUCGGGAAUGUGGCUCUCUUCGGGGAGUGUUAUAGCC
rnacentral:rRNA from 1 species